GAUGAACGCUGGCGGCGUGCCUAAUACAUGCAAGUCGAGCGAACAGACGAGGAGCUUGCUCCUCUGACGUUAGCGGCGGACGGGUGAGUAACACGUGGAUAACCUACCUAUAAGACUGGGAUAACUUCGGGAAACCGGAGCUAAUACCGGAUAAUAUAUUGAACCGCAUGGUUCAAUAGUGAAAGACGGUUUUGCUGUCACUUAUAGAUGGAUCCGCGCCGCAUUAGCUAGUUGGUAAGGUAACGGCUUACCAAGGCGACGAUGCGUAGCCGACCUGAGAGGGUGAUCGGCCAGACUGGAACAGAGACACGGUCCAGACUCCUACGGGAGGCAGCAGUAGGGAAUCUUCCGCAAUGGGCGAAAGCCGGACGGAGCAACGCCGCGUGAGUGAUGAAGGUCUUCGGAUCGUAAAACUCUGUUAUUAGGGAAGAACAAAUGUGUAAGUAACUAUGCACGUCUUGACGGUACCUAAUCAGAAAGCCACGGCUAACUACGUG
rnacentral:rRNA from 1 species